rnacentral:rRNA from 1 species
GUGGGGAAUAUUGGACAAUGGGCGAAAGCCUGAUCCAGCCAUGCCGCGUGUGUGAAGAAGGUCUUCGGAUUGUAAAGCACUUUAAGUUGGGAGGAAGGGCAGUAAGUUAAUACCUUGCUGUUUUGACGUUACCGACAGAAUAAGCACCGGCUAACUUCGUGCCAGCAGCCGCGGUAAUACGAAGGGUGCAAGCGUUAAUCGGAAUUACUGGGCGUAAAGCGCGCGUAGGUGGUUUUGUAAGUUGGAGGUGAAAUCCCCGGGCUCAACCUGGGAACUACCUCCAAAACUGCAUGACUAGAGUACGGUAGAGGGUAGUGGAAUUUCCUGUGUAGCGGUGAAAUGCGUAGAUAUAGGAAGGAACACCAGUGGCGAAGGCGACUACCUGGACUGAUACUGACACUGAGGUGCGAAAGCGUGGGGAGCAAACAGGAUUAGAUACCCGUGUAGUCC